rnacentral:lncRNA from 1 species
GGGGUGGGGUGAUACUGAAGUAUCCUUCUAAUAAACAAGGGGUUGAUACUGAGGUAUCCUAAUAAACAAAGGGUUGAUACUGAGGUAUCCUUCUAAUAAACAAAGGGGUGAUACUGAUGUAUCUUCUAUGAACAAGGUGGUGAUACUGAUGUAUCUUCUAUGAACAAGGUGGUGAUACUGAUGUAUCUUCUAUGAACAAGGUGGUGAUACUGAUGUAUCUUCUAUGAACAAGGUGGUGAUACUGAUGUAUCUUCUAUGAACAAGGGGGGUGAUACUGAUGUACUUCUAUGAACAAGGGGGGUGAUACUGAUGUAUCUUCUUCGUUUGUAUUUUCUUGGUCCUGGUAUGGUCGUGGUCACGUUUGAAUACUAAAUUCAAGUAGAGACUUCUUUGCAUGAAAUGUAGAAAAACAUGACUUAAAACCUAACCAGAAUGAGAAAUAAAAUAAGAGUGAAAACAAAAGAACAACUAGG